AGCACGUAAAAAAACUAUAGCUUAUUGUAUAUUUAUUUUGUCACUAAGCAUAUUGCUAAUACAUUUAAUAGGUUUAAAACUUUGCCAUUAUCUUGACGAGAUCCAACAUUUGUUGUUUCCUGUAUUGUUAGUUAUAGCCAUUCUGACUGGAGUGAGAUGAUGCUACUCAGCCGUAAGAAAUGAUGAAAUCCGGACAUUUGUGACAACAUGGAUGGACCUUGAGGGUAUUAGGCUGAGUGGAAUAAGUCAGAGAGAGAAAGUCAAAUACCACAUGAUCUCACUCAUAGGUAGAAAAUAAAAACAAUGACAAACAAACACAUAGCAACAGAGGUUGGAUUGGUGGUUACCAUAGGGGAAGGGGGAAGGGAGGAGGGCAGAGUGGGGGAUUAAGCACACAUGAGUGGUAAUGCACUAUAAUUAGUGUUUGGUUGGUGAACAUGAUGUAAUCUACACAGAAUUCGAAAUAUAUUAUGAUGUGGCCGGCCUGGUGAAGCAUCAGUUAAGUUCCCACAUUUGGCUUCUUGGCGGCUCAGGGUUCGCCGGUUCAGAUCCCGGGUGUGGAUAUGGCACCGCUUGGCACACCAUGCUGUGGUAGGCAUCCCACAUAUAAAGUAGAGGAAGAUGGGCAUGGAUGUUAGCUCAGGGCCAGUCUUCCUCAGCGAAAAGAGGAGGAUUGGUAGCAGUUAGCUUCGGGCUAAUCUUCCUCAAAAAACGAAAAACGAAAAACAAAAAACUUUUAUCUAUGGGCAAAGUACACAUGAGAGAAGACAAAAGCCUCAGAUGCAUAGUAUUUCUUUUUAAUUCUCCUCAUGAAUUAUUUUACCAAAGAUAAAUUGAUAUAAACAUCUCUGUGCUUAAAAUCAUUUAUUCUUUCUUUCUUCCUAAUAUAUUUGGAAUAUAUUCCAAUUAUUGACCAAUCAUUAUGCGCUUGUAACUAGGCUAAGUGCCAAGCUUACAAGGUUAUAUAUGAGUAAAUCCUUGCCCAUAGUGUAUGUCAGAUAUAACAGACUUAUGAGACAAGUCUUUUGGUAAUAUAGAACAAGUUACCCUGUGAGAUAACUUAUGUAUGCAUGCUCUUCUGUUCUUCAAAAUAUUGGAACUCAGACACCAUUAUAUUUCUUUUCAGUUUCCGGCUUUUUGUUUGGAGAUUCAUAAAAGUUGACUUAGAACAUGUUGCUCAUUGUAAUACCAACCAGGUCUAAAUUAAAUUGCAGUGUUUUCAACUGUUACUGAAUAGUGACAUACCCUACAUCUUUCUUCUUGACCUUUGUGCAAUAAUAAAACAUCCCGUCUCCCUGGCCCUUUUACUUUCAUAGUUUUCUCUUCUUUUAGCUCCUUAGGGCACUUUUCCAGACCACCUCAAGUUUCCAAAUAGAAGUGGGUGAUUUAGGCAUAACAGCACCUGACAGCAGUAGAGAAACAGUCUUUCUUAAAGAAUUUAUGGAUUUUUCAGAAUGCUAUCUGGGAUGCCACCACUGCCCACAUCACUGAUUCAUGAGUUCAUCUUUGGCAAGACAGCCACAGAAUUACAUUUCUACGGAGAACUGAUAACUUCGUGAGGGGAGAAGGUUAGCCUGUCACAGGGUGAAUAUCAUACAACAUAAAGCCCAAAUGCUAUCACGGUAUAAAAAGUCAUCAAGUAUUUUACAAAAUGAGGUUCUUGCUGCUUGGAUUCCAUCAGGCAGCAAUUUGUACUCUGAUUACCUAAAGUUGCUUGUCUGUCUCACAGCAUUUGCCUGCCUGUAGUUUAUCAGUUUUCCUCUAAAGGGGAUUUAAUAUUCUGUCAAUUUCCCCAUUGUUUAUGGCACUGUUUUUGCAGAUAGUAUCUGAAAAUAAACAAAAAAUCUGACCAAAAAGUAAUGUCAAUCUGUCUUUGCCUUUUUGCAGAAUUUCCUAAGGUCUAUAAAACCUUCCAGCAAUUGAUGACAUGAGAACAGAUUCGGAUCUCUGUGUUUGUGUCUCAUAAUUUUGUAAACAUUACUUCAA
ensembl:lncRNA